AUUGAACGCUGGCGGCAGGCCUAACACAUGCAAGUCGAGCGGUAGAGAGGUGCUUGCACCUCUUGAGAGCGGCGGACGGGUGAGUAAUGCCUAGGAAUCUGCCUGGUAGUGGGGGAUAACGCUCGGAAACGGACGCUAAUACCGCAUACGUCCUACGGGAGAAAGCAGGGGACCUUCGGGCCUUGCGCUCUCAGAUGCGCCUAGGUCGGAUUAGCUAGUUGGUGAGGUAAUGGCUCACCAAGGCGACGAUCUCUAGCGGGUUUGAGAGGAUGAGCAGCCACACUGGAACUGAGACACGGUCCAGACUCCUACGGGAGGCAGCAGUGGGGAAUAUUGGACAAUGGGCGCAAGCCUGAUCCAGCCAUGCCGCGUGUGUGAAGAAGGCCUUCGGGUUGUAAAGCACUUUCAGCGAGGAGGAAGGGUGGUGUGUUAAUAGCACAUCAUUUUGACGUUACUCGCAGAAGAAGCACCGGCUAACUCUGUGCCAGCAGCCGCCGUAAUAC
rnacentral:rRNA from 1 species